UUUUGUGGCUGAGCAUGCAGCAGCUUCAUGUAAGAUCUCAGUUCCUAGACCAGGGAUGGAACCCAGGCUGAAGUCGAAAUCACCAAGUCCUAGCCGCUAGGCCACCAGGGAACUCCCCAUUGUGUUAGUUUUGAUUUCAGAGAGUUAGAACAGUAAAUGGCCAACAUUGUAUCCCCAUCUUUCAGAGAACGAAACCGAGGCUCAGAGAGGAUAAGGAUGGCAUGAGCAGAGAGCUUCAUCACGCAGGUGGCCAGUGGUAGACCUUGGAUUUGGCACCAGAUCUAACGGACUCCAAGGCGUAAUGUCUUCUCCACACACAACCUCAUGUGACAUCUCAGAGAUGAAAACCUUUCAGCCUUACACUCUUCAUAACUCCUAAAACUGUUGACUCUGAAUUUUCACAAUCUCCUGAGGUUACAGCUGUUUAAAUGAAUGGUUUUAAUCCUGUAGGACUCAAUGAAAUUUAUAGACAAUAUCACCUACCUCUACUCAUCAUCAGCCCAGACCAGGGAUGGAACAUCCGUAAUGCCCCAACUUUAUUCAUUUAUUUAUUUAUUUACUUACUUAUUUGGCCACACCUGCAGCAUGCAGAAGUUCCCACACUAGGGCUGGAACCCACACCACAGCAGUGACAACACCGGAUCCUUAACUGCCAGGCAGCCAGGGAACUCCUUUAUAAUGCCCCAACUUUAGUAUGAAGGAUAAAUAAAAGGAAACGAUAAUAGCCUAUAUACACACAUUUAUUUCAGUGUGUAAACUCUUGAGUGCAGCCUCAGGGAAAUGUAAACAAAGUAGCAGUUGCUUUUGACUUUGUUAAUACUGCAGCCAUGAACACAGCCUGACCCAGCCCGGUGGACAUGGUGACGUAACAAGCACAUAUCCAGGGUUACUAUCGGUGACAGGAUUUUCCAAAGUGAACAAUUUUCAGUCUGAACAAAAUGUAGUCUUCUCUCAGUUAGCGUGAUGAUUGCCAGGCCUUGAAAAUUCAGUGCAUUUGAAAGUUACAGGAGGGAGUUCCCUGGUGACCUCGCAGUAAAGGAUCCUACUGCUGUGGUAUGAGUUUGAUCCCUGGCCCAGGAACUUCCAUAUGCCGAAGGUGUGGCAAAAAAAAAAAAAAAAAAAAAA